AACGAACGCUGGCGGCGUGCCUAAUACAUGCAAGUCGUGCGAGAAAGUUCCUUCGGGAGCGAGUAAAGCGGCGCACGGGUGAGUAACACGUAGGUAACCUGCCCCCCAGUCUGGAACAACUAGAGGAAACUCUAGCUAAUGCCGGAUGAGACCACGAUCCCUUCGGGGGUUGCGGCCAAAGAUGGCCUCUACUUGUAAGCUAUCGCUGAGGGAUGGGCCUGCGGGCCAUUAGCUUGUUGGUGAGGUAACGGCUCACCAAGGCUGUGAUGGCUAGCUGGUCUGAGAGGAUGACCAGCCACACUGGGACUGAGACACGGCCCAGACUCCUACGGGAGGCAGCAGUGGGAAUAUUGCGCAAUGGGCGAAAGCCUGACGCAGCGACGCCGCGUGGGUGAUGAAGGCCUCGGUCGGUAA
rnacentral:rRNA from 1 species